AUGAUCUACCUGUCAAACAUCGCGUUGUUUUAUACCAAUAUCGUCAUAACGUUUCUCCAUUUGACAGAAACGUCACAUUCCUAUGUUAAUGUUGCCUUGUAUAAACCAGCAUACCAAAAGCACCCGGCGUACCCUGGCUAUGACAAAUAUAACGCCAGGUGCUCUACAAGUGGAUUUUAUGGGUCUAACUGUUCCAUUCCCUGUCUAGACGUCAACUGUCAGUACUGUCACAUAGAGACGGGCACCUGCCAGGGCUGUAAACCUGGAUAUCAAGGUCACCGAUGUGAAUUAGAAUGCUCAAAUGUUAAGUUCGAGGACGGCUGUCACCGAGAUUGUGGAUAUUGUAGAAAUAUGUCACUUUGUCACCACGAAAACGGAGCAUGCCCAAACGGAUGUGAACCCGGAUAUAAACAAUACGAUUGUAAACAACGAAAACUAUGCAAACCACUGUGCAAUUUUAAGUCCAACACAUCAAAAACAGAGUGCGUAUUAUGCCUCGGUAAUUGCAAAGAUGAUUCACCUUGCACCAACUUGACAGGGGUGUGUGCCAACGGAUGUAAAAACUAUUGGACUGGGGAAUUCUGUCAAGAUUGCACAGUUGGCUUUCAUGGAGAAGACUGUAAUAAGAAAUGCGGACAGUGUGUGGAUGGAAUGCCAUGUAAUGUGUCAUCUGGUGUUUGUCCAUCGGGGUGCAAAAACUACUGGGUAGGACCAAUGUGUACAGAAUGUCUGCCUUACAAGUACGGUCCAAAUUGUUCGUUGGACUGUGGUCAUUGUAAAAAUGCUAGACCAUGCUCCGGGAUGACUGGAAAAUGCGCAGAUGGAUGUCAACAAGGUUGGACAGAUGAUUUUUGUUUAACAGCGAUUUCAACACACAUUUUUGUAACAAAAGGCGAAGGGAUAUCGACCCUAAAUCUCUAUGCCAUCAAAGCUGCUCUCGCCAUGUUUGUAUCAGUAGCCAUUGUUGUAAUUUUCUUCAAGAAACAGUCCUGCGAUGUUGUGAUUUUGAUUUAUGAAGGACUCUAUUUGAUGAGGUUCGAGUUUUGUCUCUUCUGA
rnacentral:sRNA from 1 species